rnacentral:rRNA from 1 species
GACGAACCGUGUGAACGUUGUUCGGAAUCACUGGGCUUAAAGGGCGCGUAGGCGGGCAUUCAAGUCAGGGGUGAAAUCCUGGAGCUCAACUCCAGAACUGCCUUUGAUACUGGAGAGCUUGAGUCCGGAAGAGGUGAGUGGAACUCCGAGUGUAGAGGUGAAAUUCGUAGAUAUUCGGAAGAACACCAGUGGCGAAGGCGGCUCACUGGUCCGGUACUGACGCUGAGGUGCGAAAGCGUGGGGAGCAAACAGG